CUUGCAUUAAGUACUUUAAAGAAAUAUCAAUCCCCUAGAUGAUGGGCUUUAUUUCUAAACAGUGCUGCAGAUUUGCUGAAUGUCUUCCUACCACGAAGAAGAAAUUGAGGUUUGGAGUUCAAAUGAUCUUUGUUUUCCUCCCCUCAGGUUAUCUUAAGCCUACAAGGUUUCUUUAUCCUUCAAUUCCAGUUCAACACCAUUUCCCAAAAGUUGAUGCUUUGGUUUGAAUGUGCAGUAUUCCCUUUAAGCUAGUGUGUUUCUAUUCUCCAGGUGGUCGAGCUGUUUUGGAAGGUUCUAGAACCUUCAGGAGGUAGAGCCUCACUGGAGGAAGCAGGUCACUGAGGGCGAGUUUGAAGUGUUAUAGCACUGCCCCACUUCCUGUUCUGGCCCUGCUUCCUGAGUGUGGAUGCCCUGUGACUCAUCAGCCUUGUGAUCCAGCAUCCACACCUUCCAUGACUGUUACCAUGUUUCCCCAAACAGGUGGACUGCAUCUCUCCAGAACUAUAUGUCAAAAUCAGAGCUUUCUCCCAUGAGUUCCUAUUGUCAGGGUAUUUCGUCGUUCAUCACAGCAACAGGAAAAGAAGCUAAUACACUCAGAUCAUUGGCCCACCUACAGUUGUCUCAAAGAGUCUCCAUCAUCCAGAUGCAGAAUAUCUAGCUGCCACCAAAUCUGAUUUAUCUUCCUAAGGACAUGCCAACACUGUGUUUUUCAGAUUCCUUUUGUUCGGGAGUUCUCAAGAGACUGAUUUCUUCCCCACAGAUGGAUUGCAAAAUGAUGUGCACUGUUACCACACCCACCACAGAGGAGCUCCAGUUGGUGGUCCUCUGCUCCGUCUCCUUAACAGGUUUUGCAGAUCAGUAUGGUGGUAUAAUAUGCCAGCUACUAAACAUGGCUGUGCCAUGUGCUACAAGUAAUAUGGGUCUAAACCAGAUGUAGUGGUACAUACUUAUAGUUCCAGUACUUGGAUGCUGAGGCAGGUGGAUUGUGAGUUUGAGGUCAGCCUUGGCAAAGCCAGCCUAAAUUCCAUACUAAGACCUUGUCUCAAACAGGAGGAGGAAGAAGAAGAGAAGAAAGAGGCUGGAGCAGCAACGGAACGAGGAAGCUCACUUAGCUACUCUCCGGAACUUCAAAUCUAGUACUCAGCCCCUGCUACAAGUUUUGAAAAUCCUCACAUUCAGACCACACCCAGACCAUGGAAUGUGGACUUGUCCAAUGUUGGAUCCAGAUACCCAGGAGGAAACGUCUCAGCUGACUUCAAUGCACAGACAGUAUUCAGAGUUACUACAGGCUUCCCGCUAUGUCCACCAUAGUUUUCUAUCCUGUUAAUGAAACUGUACUCCAGAGAAGAAGAAAUAUCAUGACAACGUCUCGUAAAGAAUCCCUGGAUAGGGCAAUGAAGACGUAUUGUUUCCUAGGGCUAAGGAGCAAGAGAGACUAUUAUACAGAGGCUGUUCUUGUCAAGGGACCAGAGAGAGGCUAUGGACUGGACAUUCCCUGGGACAAUACAGAAGAGGGAGUCAAAAACAAAACAAACAAACAAACAAAAACAACCGUCUACAAAGUUGAAAAUCAUGCACAUCUACAAAUUUGCCUUCCUGCAAUAGGAAGCCUGUGUUGAUGGGCAUGCCUGCUUUGAAAGAAUAUCAGCAUCUCUGCCUCAGAGUUGGAACCAAUGUUUUCUCUAUUGGCCCUGCUUACUUUUUCAUUUAUUUCUUCUAAGCUGUAUUUGUCUAAAUAAAAACUUAGAUCUUCUGGAUUAUUAAAGUCCAAACCAAAACACUAUAACAUACUGUCAUACAGAGGAGGGCUGCUUGUCUUUGGGGUUCUUGAAGGAAAUCCAUGCUCGUCUGCUGACUCCCUCUGUCAAGCCAGGGCCG